UUUUUAUUUUAUCCAUGUUUUCAAACCUUUUCAUUCACUCUCAAACUCUCACUUCCGAGUCUCUCUCUUUUGUUUUAGGUUUCCUUACUCUCAUCGUUCACGCUGCCCCAACUCCAUCCCCCUCAUUUCAAAACACUCAAUAUUUUACUCACUCACAGUUAACUCUCGUAUGUUGAGGCUGAAAUUCUUCACUCUCACAUUCCCAAAUGAUUUUCGUGCACGGUAGGAGUCGAGUGGUUGGACCCAAUCAAUUUCGUUUGUCUUCUUCAUUACUUCAAGUGUCAUUCCAGUUCCAUUUUUGUCGCUUUUUUACCCUAGCUUGAAUCUAGGUUGGCCGUGAUUGGUUCCUCGCUGCUUCAAGGUAGCCCAUUUCGUGUUCUUCAUUGCUUCAAGGUCUUCUAAGAAUAGCGAACUUGCCACUAGGUGUUCAUUGCAAGGGGUCAUCCUAAAGGCUUGUGUUAUCAGUGCUUGUGGGAAUUUUGCCAUUCUAGGGACAACAGGUGGUUGGAUUGAAAGGUUUAACCUUCAAUCUGGAAUUCGCAGGGUUCUUACAUUGACAUUUCAGAAUCAAGAAGUGGUGCUCAUGAUGAUGAAGUAGUUGGAGUUGCUUGUGACUCAACAAAUACUCUCAUGAUUAGUGCAGGAUACAAAGGAUCAAGUGGUGGAAACAAAACACCUUAGACUUGGACUUUUAAUGUUGUCUUUUUUUCUUAGAUACUUGAAUAUUUUGGUACUCUUAGUGGUCCUUUUUUUUUUCAAAUGCUUGAAUUGGUACUUUGGUGUAGUUAUGUUAUAUUGACAAUGAAACAAUUUAGUUUAUCAAUUUCUAUU